rnacentral:sRNA from 1 species
UGCAUCUGAGGCCUGCGAGGAUGAGAACCUCCGGUGGCAGGAGGUUCGACUCGAGCGAAGCGAGAGAACGUUGCGUCAGCAACGGCCCGCAGGGCGAGCCACGAAGUGGUGAGUCAUCCUCUAUCACCGACCA